UGGGGAAUAUUGGACAAUGGGGGGAACCCUGAUCCAGCCAUGCCGCGUGUGUGAAGAAGGCCUUAUGGUUGUAAAGCACUUUAAGCGAGGAGGAGGGUACUGGUAUUAAUACUACCAGCUACUGGACGUUACUCGCAGAAUCAGCACCGGCUAACUCUGUGCCAGCAGCCGCGGUAAUACAGAGGGUGCGAGCGUUAAUCGGAUUUACUGGGCGUAAAGCGUGCGUAGGCGGCUAAUUGAGUCGGAUGUGAAAUCCCCGAGCUUAACUUGGGAAUUGCAUUCGAUACUGGUUAGCUAGAGUGUGGGAGAGGAUGGUAGAAUUCCAGGUGUAGCGGUGAAAUGCGUAGAGAUCUGGAGGAAUACCGAUGGCGAAGGCAGCCAUCUGGCCUAACACUGACGCUGAGGUACGAAAGCAUGGGGAGCAAACAGG
rnacentral:rRNA from 1 species